rnacentral:rRNA from 1 species
UGGGGAAUAUUGGACAAUGGGGGCAACCCUGAUCCAGCAAUGCCGCGUGUGUGAAGAAGGUCUUCGGAUUGUAAAGCACUUUCGACGGGGACGAUGAUGACGGUACCCGUAGAAGAAGCCCCGGCUAACUUCGUGCCAGCAGCCGCGGUAAUACGAAGGGGGCUAGCGUUGCUCGGAAUGACUGGGCGUAAAGGGCGUGUAGGCGGUUUACACAGUCAGAUGUGAAAUCCCCGGGCUUAACCUGGGAGCUGCAUUUGAUACGUGUAGACUAGAGUGUGAGAGAGGGUUGUGGAAUUCCCAGUGUAGAGGUGAAAUUCGUAGAUAUUGGGAAGAACACCGGUGGCGAAGGCGGCAACCUGGCUCAUGACUGACGCUGAGGCGCGAAAGCGUGGGGAGCAAACAGGAUUAGAUACCCUGGUAGUCCACGCUGUAAACGAUGUGUGCUAGAUGUUGGGUAACUUUGU